UGUUAUAAUUAAAUCAAUGAUUUUUAGAUGAGUUUAGUUAAUAAAAAAUAGUUAAAUGGUAUGCAAAAUAAUCACAGGAAGUGUGUAUCUGAUCUUAAAGUAAGUGUUCAAUAUAAGAGUUUGGGUCUAUUCGUCAUAAAAUCGAAAUAUUCCACUCAAACACCGGUAGCUGAAGUAAAACUGGAUGACAAACCCUCUUUUCAAGUUUAUCUACCGUCUAGGUUUCAAUUUACUCGAGAAGAUUUGGCAAAAGGAUUCGACGAAAGUCUGAAACUUGUUUCUAACGGACGAAAAGAUUAAACUUCGAGUUGCGAUAUAAAGUUUAUGUAAAUGAAUACUGUAUACUUUAAAAUGAUAAUAAUGAAGUAUGGAUUUAUAAAAAAAUAUUACAUGUUGUUGAAAAUUCAAUAAAACUGUAACUAUGUUUGAAUGCGUUAUUUUAAAACUAUACUUGAUAAAUAAUGAAAGAAAUAUUAAUAAAAAAUGGUAAAAAUUAAAGUAAAAAAACUAAAAUUUAAUACAGCUUGUUUCUAACACAAUUUAUGUACAAUAUUUGAAGUAUGAUAUUAAGUCUAUGUAAAUGAAUAUUAUACACUUUAAAAACGAUAAGUUGAUUUUUAGAAAAAAUAUUUGAAAAUCCAACAAAAUUACAAUUAUAUUUCACCCCGUAAAUCUAUACUUGUUAAAAAAAAAUAAAGUUACUGGUGUAUUAAUCGAACAAUGGGUGUAAAUAAAUCAAUACGAAAAAUAAUAUUUAGAGAGUAUUUUUGCUAACUCAGCGUCUGCAAAAGAAAUAUUAAAUAGCAAAAAUAAACAGUAGUCACGUUAGUAAGUGUAAGUAAAAUGUUAGUGUUUUAACAAAAGUCACGUAAAAUAAUUUUAAAUCCCAAUGGACGUCUGAGAAUGGUCAUAACACGAAAUUGUUUUACAAAAAUUAUCAACUCCAGGGUAGGGGAUACUGUUGGUAUGAAAUUGCUGAGGUUUGCAAAAGUAUAUUUAAAAAAACCGAAAAAUCAUUUUUCUCCAGACUUAAUUUUCGUUCAUCUGUUAAAUCGUUACCUUUAAGCCUUUUCAUUUUCAAUCGUAAACACAUCAAAUAUGAAUCACUUGUGCUGUGUUUGUGGUAAGACUUUCAGUUUUCUGAAAGAUCUGAAACGUCAUGAACAAUCUGUUCAUAAACACAAAUUAUACAGCUAUACAGUUUGCGGUAAAAAUGUUUCCAGAAAGGAUAAUGUGAGAAGACAUCAACAUAAGACACACUUCUUGAAAGGUGUGAAUAAUGUAUUGCAGUUACAAUCUAAGAAUUCUAAAAAAAUGUGUGAAAACUCGAUCGAGUAUUUGAUAUCGAUAUAAAGAAAGAAAAUGAAUUAAAUUCUAACGAUUUCUCUACUUCUCGGGAUAGUGACGAUGAACUCUGUGUAAAUAGUGAAUUGAUUGGAAUGGGGAUUGAAUAUUUAAAUAAACCAAAACAGUCAAACACAAAAAGUGAUUGUGUGAAGAUUUCAAGUUCAAAAUUGAUUGAAUCAGCUUUUUCGGGCAAUAUAAAUGUACACAGAAUUGAAAAUAUCGAUCCGUUUACUAUCACCGAGUUCAUAGAGCGAUAUGCAUUUGACAUUACAGAUGUCUGGGAAAAAUCAAUCAAAAAAAUAUAGCGGUGGAUCAUACGAUUUUCACUUAUUCGGGUUGAAAAUUGAACAAAAAUGGUAAUUUAUUGGUUAUUUACAUAAUAUUCGUCAAAGAGCAGUAUCAGAAAAAAUAUUGAAUGUAAAUAGUAGUUAUAAAUGUUUUUUUAUUAAUUGAGUAUUAACAUUUUUCUUUAAUAUCACAAAUUUGUUUUAUAUGUUUAUUAUUACUACAAUUAUCACUUUAUAAUAAAAGAAAAUGUAUAGUUAUUAUCAUUAGAAUUUUGAAUUAAAAAUAAAUCAUAAAAAUAUU